rnacentral:tRNA from 1 species
GACAGGGUAGCUCAGUCGGUUAGAGCGACGGACUCAUAAGCCGUAGGUCGUGGGUUCGAUCCCCACCCCUGUCA